AGUGAACGCUGGCGGUAGGCCUAACACAUGCAAGUCGAACGGCAGCACAGAGGAGCUUGCUCCUUGGGUGGCGAGUGGCGGACGGGUGAGGAAUACAUCGGAAUCUACUCUGUCGUGGGGGAUAACGUAGGGAAACUUACGCUAAUACCGCAUACGACCUACGGGUGAAAGCAGGGGAUCUUCGGACCUUGCGCGAUUGAAUGAGCCGAUGUCGGAUUAGCUAGUUGGCGGGGUAAAGGCCCACCAAGGCGACGAUCCGUAGCUGGUCUGAGAGGAUGAUCAGCCACACUGGAACUGAGACACGGUCCAGACUCCUACAGGAGGCAGCAGUGGGGAAUAUUGGACAAUGGGCGCAAGCCUGAUUCAGCCAUACCGCGUGGGUGAAGAAGGCCUCCGGGUUGUAAAGCCCUUUUGUUGGGAAAGAAAUCCAUCUGGUUAAUACCCGGGUGGGAUGACGGUACCCAAAGAAUAAGCACCGGCUAACUUCGUGCCAGCCGCCGCGGUAA
rnacentral:rRNA from 1 species